AAACUGUGGUUUGGACUCCUAUCUAAAUAUUGCUUGUACCUCUCCCAAGCUUCAAAAACUUAUUCCCCAUUACGUUGUUUGAAUUCGGAAAUCUGAUCACGAAUUUU